rnacentral:rRNA from 1 species
AUACGGAGGGAGCAAGCGUUAUUCGGAAUCACUGGGCGUAAAGGACGCGUAGGCGGGUUUGUAAGUCAGGUGUGAAAUCCUACAGCUAAACUGUAGAACUGCACUUGAAACUACCAACCUAGAGUAUGGGAGGGGGAGAUGGAAUUAGUGGUGUAGGGGUAAAAUCCGUAGAUAUCACUAGGAAUACCGAAAGCGAAGGCGAUCUCCUGGAACAUAACUGACGCUAAGGCGUGAAAGCGUGGGGAGCAAACAGGAUUAGAAACCCCGGUAGUCC